AAUGGAAGUGAGAGAGGAAAGGGCUA
rnacentral:piRNA from 1 species